rnacentral:ncRNA from 1 species
CACACACAUCGAGGCGACGGUGGACAGGAACCCGGUGCGAACCCGGGACGGUCCCGCCACUGUGACCGUACGCGAGCCCACGGGCCCGUACGGAAGUCAGGAACUGACCCGUCGUCCUCCUGAAUUG